rnacentral:tRNA from 1 species
GCCCCCGUCGUCUAGAGGCCUAGGACGCGGCCCUUUCAAGGCCGAAAUCAGGGGUUCGAAUCCCCUCGGGGGCACCA